UUUGAUGUAUAAUUCCGUAUGAAGACAUUUAUUUACUACCCCUAUAUGCAAAAUAUGGCGAUGAACAAAUACUACCGGCUGCUCGUAUUUGUUCAAGGAGACGACAUAUCCAUUACAAAUAGUGAAUUUUAGUAUUUCACUCUAUUCAUGUUGCCCUUAUGUAUCAUGUAUUAUACUAUGUGCCUAGAAAAUACACCCAAAAGGAAGCUGCAGAGAAAGGACCAGUGGAGCACUGAUCAAUCUAGCAAGCAUUUGUCAGUAAGGACUCACAUUAAAAUCUGACGAAAUGACUAAUCGAGUACAACCCUUUUGUGCAGCAUUAAAGUGCAGGCUGUUGACUUGUAUGAGUGCCACAAGUUCCAGUUCUUGCCAUCAGAGAGUCAGGGAGCCACGGGCAGCGGAGGUUAUUUCAUCUAGAACAGAGUGGCGACGAACAAUCAAAAUCAAAUAAAUGAAAUCGACAAGAUUGCUUCCAGUCAAUGGGAAUGAAGGACGAUGGAGAAGAUAACACACUAGUGAGUGAAGUUGAUGUCGCCCCUCGUGCGCGCUUAUGGUCUGCCAUGGGGGGAGCGGGGAGGG
rnacentral:lncRNA from 1 species